GACGAACGCUGGCGGCGUGCUUAACACAUGCAAGUCGAACGAAGUGGCGUACGGGUGAGUAACGCGUAAUCAACCUGCCCUUCAGAGGGGGACAACAGUUGGAAACGACUGCUAGUACCGCAUACUGAAGGAGGGGAUUGCGUCUGAUUAGCUAGUUGGAGGGGGAACGGCCCACCAAGGCGAUGAUCAGUAGCCGGUCUGAUAGGAUGAACGGCCACAUUGUGAUCGGGACACGGCCCAGAGUACAAGGGACGGCAGCAGUGGGGAUUCCUCCGAAAUGGACGUAAGCCCGACGGAGCAACUCCGCGUGAGCGACGACCGCCUUCGGGUUGGAAAGCGUUGUUCAGCGGGAUGCGGUACCGGAACAGAAAGCUACGGCUAACUACGUACCAGCAGCCGCGGUAAUUC
rnacentral:rRNA from 1 species